AGCAUGAGUUAUGUCAUGUUAUCGACAUGUGAAUUCAUAGCAUGUCAGAAGGCAGACCCGGAGAACUGAAACAUCUUAGUACCCGGAGGAAGAGAAAGAAAAAUCGAUUCCCUGAGUAGCGGCGAGCGAAACGGGAAGAGCCCAAACCAACAAGCUUGCUUGUUGGGGUUGUAGGACACUCUAUACGGAGUUACAAAAGAACAUGUUAGACGAAUCAUCUGGAAAGAUGAAUCAAAGAAGGUAAUAAUCCUGUAGUCGAAAACAUAUUCUCUCUUGAGUGGAUCCUGAGUACGACGGAGCACGUGAAAUUCCGUCGGAAUCUGGGAGGACCAUCUCCUAAGGCUAAAUACUCUCUAGUGACCGAUAGUGAACCAGUACCGUGAGGGAAAGGUGAAAAGUACCCCGGAAGGGGAGUGAAAGAGAACUUGAAACCGUGUGCUUACAAGUAGUCAGAGCCCGUUAAUGGGUGAUGGCGUGCCUUUUGUAGAAUGAACCGGCGAGUUACGAUCUGAUGCAAGGUUAAGCAGCAAAUGUGGAGCCGCAGCGAAAGCGAGUCUGAAUAGGGCGUUGAGUAUUUGGUCGUAGACCCGAAACCAGGUGAUCUACCCUUGGUCAGGUUGAAGUUCAGGUAACACUGAAUGGAGGACCGAACCGACUUACGUUGAAAAGUGAGCGGAUGAACUGAGGGUAGCGGAGAAAUUCCAAUCGAACUUGGAGAUAGCUGGUUCUCUCCGAAAUAGCUUUAGGGCUAGCCUCAAGUGAUGAUUAUUGGAGGUAGAGCACUGUUUGGACGAGGGGCCCCUCUCGGGUUACCGAAUUCAGACAAACUCCGAAUGCCAAUUAAUUUAACUUGGGAGUCAGAACAUGGGUGAUAAGGUCCGUGUUCGAAAGGGAAACAGCCCAGACCACCAGCUAAGGUCCCAAAAUAUAUGUUAAGUGGAAAAGGAUGUGGCGUUGCCCAGACAACUAGGAUGUUGGCUUAGAAGCAGCCAUCAUUUAAAGAGUGCGUAAUAGCUCACUAGUCGAGUGACACUG
rnacentral:rRNA from 1 species